CAGGUUGCCAGGGCUGCCCCGUGGAACCCGGAGGCCACAAGAUUCUGCCGGGUGAGCCAGAGACUCCCCGGAGAGCCAUCCCCUCCGUCCUUGACAGCUGGGCCGCUUCUCUGCCGUUCUCAGCCCCGGCACUGUUCCCGCACAGCCGAUCCUAAACACACGGAGGCCACUCCCGCACUGCCACUGAGAAAAAGCCGAGGCUGGGUAGCCGCGGAGGGGCCAAAGGGCCGGAGUUUGAGGUCGAGGUGUCAGCAGGCUCUGACCCAGUCACCCUGCCGCGCUGCCCUGGGCCAACUGUUUUCGUCCCCAACAUUCACAUGUAGAACCCUUCACUCCCACCGUGACAGCUGAGGAGGGCGACGCUGCCUGGGAAGCAGGAGCUGUUCUCCCCAGACACCGAAUCUGCCUUUCCGUGGCCUGCAGCCUCCGGAACUGAGAGGAGUGAGCGUGUGUGGCGCUUCUGCUCACGCGACUGGGAUGCACUGAGACCAGGCCUGGGGAAAGCCGGUCCUCCGGGUUCCGGAGAGAGUGGGGCCAGGUGGGGAGAGGGCUUUGUCCGCACCUCUCUCCGGGGGUUUUGCUGUAUCUGCUCCACCCUCAAAAACUCAAGUCAAACGCAUACUCCUAGACCUUCUCUCGGGGACCCUGAGGGAAAAAGACUGGAAUGGAACAGUGUCGGUAGAGUCACAGAAACGCCCGCAAUGCAGGAAAAGCCCCAGAAGCUCCUUCAGCUGGCCUUGGGCGUCCUCUGGCCUCCCAGGGGCUGGGGCUGAGCUAAGGGGAGGCUCAUUUGUUGCAGAAAUGGCACAGAGGGGUCUUGGGCACCGGGAAGGGGCCAAAAGAACUGUGUCUACGGCUCAGGGGAAGCAGGAGUGUGGAGUCCAGGGUCUGGCGCAGCAGCUCCCAGGUCACCCCCACUGAUGAAGGCAGGAUUUAAGCGCAUGGUGUAGGAGGGCUGCAUGGGCGCCAGUGCUAGGGGUGUCGGAGGGUCACGUGGGCACCAGCGUUAAGGGUGUGGAAGGGCCACGUGGGUGCUGGUGUUACGGCUGUGUGGGUGCCAGUGUCAGGGGUGUGAGGGCCAUGUGGGGGCCUGGGCUAGGGGCAUCAGAGGGCCACGUGGGUGUCAGCUCUUCGGGUUUGGGAGGGUUGCAUGGUGCCAGGUCUCGGGGUGUGGGGAGUCCGCAUGGGUGCCAGCACUGGGGACCCCUCUCACUUCAGAAGGACUCUCAACUCCUGCCUGCUGCCAAGCCUGCUCCCUGGGGAGGGUCUGGAAACCAUCCUCGAACUUGUCCCCCGUCUCCCCAGCUUUAGCGUCCCGACUCUUCCUCUGCCCUCCUCACCCCCAAGUCCUGGAAUGCCAGGCUGUUGCGCAGACGCCCCUCACAGCGCAGAGCCCGGCUCUGCCUGUGCAGAAACGCAACCCGUGCCAAGAAAACAUGCAGCGAUGAGAGACGUCAGGUUCCCGAAUUCCUGAAGGAUGAUGCCUCUAUCCAGCUCCGAAGGUUUCAAAGCGGGCUGGCCGUGUUUUCUCACACAGGUCUGGUAUGCGCAGCGCAGGAAUUUGGGAUCACAGUGACCGCUGGGCCUGACCUGCACCUCAGCAGCACAAACAGCCACAGACGCCUGUAGUUAGCACCCUCUGCGGUCUGAAGCCUCCUGCCCAUGGGAGGAACCCCGCCCAGAGCACAAACAGCUCGUUAAAGAGAGUGUUUGCGGCCACCUGGAGGGUCGCAAGGCCUUUAGCCUCCCCCAGACCCCCACGCUGCGUCCUCCCAGGCACGGCAUGCACAGGGCCUGACUCACUCCUCUGUCCCCUCGCACUUGGACACUUCUUCACUACGUCAGCUAAGCAACAAAGCCACCAGGAUUAGAAUCCCUCCCUCACAUGCCCUCAGGGUAGGAGGGCGGCUCUGCCCCAUCCCAGCUCUCAACGGUGGGAGAAGAUGCUCCUGGGGAGUGGGCAGUGUCUCCAGCAGGGUCAGCUGUGAGCUGUGUGCAGACGUGGCGCAGUGUGUGUGCCGGGAUGUGGCGUGUCCCCUGGCCGUGUCUACCGCCCAGUGUCUGAGCCCAGGCCUCCAUCCUGCAAGUGUUGCCCACACAGUCGUCAGCCUGUGACUUCACAUCAUGCCAGAAAAGUGCUAAGCCCAGCAUGAGCCAGCAGCACGCCCUCUGUGAAGGCACCAGGAGUAGAAGGGAGUGACUCAACGCUGUCAGUCCUGAAAAAACCCCCCCACGGUGGGAGUGCUAUUUUAAAACAAUUUUUUUUUCAAAUUCCAGCAUUCAGAAUACUUCCCAGUGCACUUUGGGUGAAAGACAAGCAGUAAGGCUACCCUUCCGUGCAGUUGGUGAUGGGUUACGGAGCCUCGGUCUUCGGAGUGGCACUGUGAGGCCAUUUGCUUCCAGCCAUGGGCACUGCCACCCCUGGAUCUUGGCCAGGGACAUCGGGUUCCUCUGCUCCCUGAGCCCACAGAGCUGUGAGUAUCUGGAACCCUCACUCCUUCCUGACGGCUCUGCUUGGAGCACACAGCUGGGUGUGCUGGGCACAGGGCGGGGCUGACGUCUGCAUCCAUCUGGCAAUGCAGGGAGCACCUGCCUCAGCAGAGUCUGUGUGGGCCCUUAUCCCAUCCCAGACUGCAUCCUGCAGAGUGAGAAGCAAAGUUGGCGUGAGCCUCUGCACGCAGCGUGAACCCGUGAGACCCACCAGAGAGGCUACUCGGGGAGGCCAGUGCUGCGGCGGUGGGAGAGCCCCCAUGUGGAAGCCUCUCCCCACAGGUGGGAGAGCCCCGGACUGGAAGCCUCUCCCUGCAGGUGGGAGAGCCCUGGACUGGAAGCCUCUCCCUGCAGAGGCCGAUGCCCCGCAAGGAUCUCACCACAAAGCUCCUCCUCAGCAUGCCUUGGCCUUGGGGUUUGACGCUAAAACAGGGCGGGGAUGCGGGGGUGAUUGCAGAGGCAGAAACGGGUUGGAAAUCACACCCUGCUCAGUCCAAAGCUCAAGAAGAUGGUGAAAUUAACACCUAAAGCCCUGGUGGCUGGCAGCACCCUCCUGGUGGGGCUCUGAUGGCACCCUCCUGGUGGGGGUCUCAUGGUACCCUCCUGGUUGGGGUCUGACGGCACCUUCCCAGUGGGGCUCUGAUGGCACCCUCCUGGUGGGGCUCUGACGGCACUCUCCUGGUGGGGCUCUGAUGGUACCCUCCCGGUGGGGGUCUUAUGGUACCCUCCUGGUUGGGGUCUGACGGCACCUUCCCGGUGGGGCUCUGAUGGCACCCUCCCGGUGGGGCUCUGAUGGCACUCUCCUGGUGGGGCUCUGAUGGCACUCUCCUGGUGGGGCUCUGACGGCACCCUCCUGGUGAGUGGACCAGAAAAAGGAGGGCUGAGGAGGUUCCUGGGAAUGCUCAGCUGGCUUGCAGUGGGCGUUGAGCCAGUGGCGUCAGGGAGGGAAAGGGAGCAGGCUGAACCCUUGGCCCUGUGGCCACCACACAGCCACGUGGAAAGGACUCGAGAGCUCCUCAAUGCCACAUGGUGCCCUGCCACACUCUUUCUGUUUUCUCUGUUUUAGAAGCUGGUGAUGAGAACAGCCCAAUGCUGAGGUUGCCUUCGUGGCCGCUAUUCGUCUAUUCCCGCUGUGCUGUGAAAGAAGGCCUGAGACGGGGUAAUUUAUCAAGAAAAGAGGUGAAUUGGCUCAGGGUCUGCUGGCUGUACAGGAACCACAGCAGCUGCUGCUUCUGGGGAGGCCUCAGGAAGCUUCCUUCUGGCAGUUCAGUAGCACCUCUGAGAACUGCUGUGUACCGAGUAGCCUGCUCCAAGGUUCCUACUGAUGGGCGUGCACAUGGACACUCCCCAGAAGACAGGGGAUGGACAGGAGCACAGAGGGGAUGAGGAGGAAAGUGGACAGAGGGGCCAUCCGGAUGCAGAAACUGAUGGCACUGGAUGCUUUUCCUGAAGUUAUGUUUUUAUCUACUUUCGACACUGGUGUUUUGACAGCAUAUAAUUUAUUCUCCAAUCAGAGACACACUGACAGCCUAGAGGGUGGAGCAAGACAGCAGCAUAGGUGUGUCUAGUGAUCGUCCCUUCACAAGAACACCGAUUUGAGCAUGCAAAUGAAAAUACUGUCAGGAGAGCUAAGUGAAGCAGACGCGGGACCACACUACCGCGUUGUAGCACAAUAACAAGAAAAGAUGUGAAGGUCUCUUUUCUAUUAUACACUUCGCCCCUCCCUCAGCCCGGGCAGCACAGCGUGGAGAAAUUGUCUGCUCAGGGAAAACCGGGGAGUGAGCAAAGAUAUCCAAACACUGGGCCCACCGCAGUAAAACCCAGCACUGGGUAAGUCUCCAUGGCCCCAGAGUCCAGGCUGGAACCUAAAGACUGAGCCUCCAGACCUGCUGCAGUGCCAGGCUGGACCACAUUGCCUCAGGCUUCUGGCUUGUGUGGCAAACUUGACCUCAGGCCCACACAACUCCUUGAUCAAUGUCAGCAGCCCUGGACUCCAGACAGUCGUCACCAGUAGGCAGGACCCAGUGGCCCCCAGCUUCAGGUAGGCCCCAGCACAGUGCCAGUGGGUCCCAGGCUUCUGGCCUGCCCCGGCAGCACUCCAGCCAGAGUGAGCCCUGAGCUUCCGGCACACCCAAGCAAUGCACCAGCUGCAGCAGCUCCAGACUUCUGGCAUCCCCAGCGCCAUGCAUGCUGGUAGCAGCCCCAGGCUUCAGAACUAUGCCAGAAAGCCUGCUCAGAAUCUCUAGACAGGCUGACUUCUUUUUUUACAGAGGAUCUUGCUCUGGCUCUGUCACCCAGGCUGGCAUGCAGGGUUAUGGUCAUGGUUCACUGCAGCCUGCACCUCCAGGGCUCAAGCAAUCCUCCCAUCUCAGCCUCCCAAGAGGCUAAGAAUACAGGCACACGCCAAGACACCCAGCUAAUUUUGUUUAUUUUUUGUACAGACAGGAUCUCACUAUGUUGCCCAAUUUGGUCUCAAACUCCUGGGCUCAAGCCAUCCUCCCACCUCAGCUUCCCAGAGUGGUGGAAUUACAGGAAUGAGCCACUGUGCCUGGCCCAGGCUAUUGAAGGGCUUUCCCAGGCAAACCAAGUCUGAGAAGACUGGAAUAAAUACUUACAUCUGCAAAUGUGCAGACAUCAACGCAUGGCCCACAAGGAUUAAGAACAAUCAGGGAAGCAUGACGUCACCAAUGCAACAAAAUAAAGUGUUACUGACCAACCUUAAAGAAAUGGAGAUAAUUGAGCUUCCUGAAAAAGAAUUUAAAAUAACUUUUAAAGAAGCUUAGUGAAAUUCAAGAAAAUGCAGAGAAACAAUUCAAUGAAUUGAGGAAAACAAUAACUGGCCAGAUGAGAAAUUUAAUACACAGAUUGUGAAAUAAUUUUAAAAAAUAAAUAAAACAGAAAUCCUGGGGCUGAAGAAUCAAAAUACAAUGAACAAAAUGAUAAAAUUAAUAGAGAGUAUCAACAGUAAAACUGAUCAAGCAGAAGAAUGUGUGAACUUAAAGAAAAGUUUUUUGAAAAUAUAUAGUCAGAGGGAAAAAAUGAACAAAGCUUAUGGGAUUUAUGAAACAGCAUAAAAAAAGCAAAUAGUUGAGUCAUAGGAAUUAAAGAAGAAGAGAAAGAUAAAGACGUAGAAAGUGUAUUUAAAGAAAGAGAAAAAAAGGAAGAGUAGCAGAAACUUUUCAAACCUGAAAAUACAUAGAAGUAUCCAGGUUCAGAAAGGUCAAAGGUCACCAAUCCAAAUAAGAUUUAAUCCGAAUAAGACUAUCCCAGACACAUAUUCACACUGUCAAAAAAACAGAGACAUAGAGAAGAUCCCGGAAGCAGCAAAAGCGAAAAAGCCAGUAACAUAUAAGGGAGUUCCCAGACAGCAGGCAGCAGAGCUCUCAGCAGAAACUUUACUGGAGACAGUGGGAUGAUAUAUUCCAACUGUUCAAGAAACAACAACAAAAUGGCAGCCAAGAAUACUGCACCCAGCAAAGCUGUUACAUCACUAAUGAAGGAAAGAUAUUUUCUCAGACAAAAGCUGAGAGAGUUCAUCACCACCAGAGCCGUCUUACAAGAAAUGCUAAAGGGAGUUCUUCAAGUAUAAAUUUAUUGGUAAAAGUAAGUACAUAGUCAAAUUUAGAAUACUCUAUCACUAUAGUGGUGGUUUGUAAGUUACUUAUAUAUUUACCAUGAAGGUUAAAAGACAAAGUUAUUAAAAAUAACUAUAGCUGCAAGAAAUUGUUAAGAGAUAUGCAAUAUAAGAAAACGUACAUUGUGAAAUCAAAAAAUUUAAAAUUUUGGUGAAAGGAAUAGAGUAAAAGCAUAGUUUUUUUGGUGGGGGGAUGGACUAUGAUCAAAGAUAAGUUGUUAUCAGCUUAAAAUAACCUGUUAUAAGAGUAAGACUUGUGGUAACCAAGAAACAAAAACCUAUAGUAGAUACAUAAAAAAAAUGUAAAACAAGGAAUCAAACAUGCCUUUAACGAAAACUAUUUAAUCACAAAGGAAGAUAGUAAGAUGGGAAGAAUGGAACAAAAGAUCAACAAAACAACUAUCAAUAGAAAGUAUAGGUUGGUUCAAAAGCAACCAUGAUUACUUUUGCAGAAAACUAACGGUUAAUAAAACAGAAAUAGGUAGGUUCUUACUUAUCAAUAAUUACCUUGAAUGUAAGUUCAUCAUAUUCUUCAAACAAAAAACAUAGACUGACCAAAUGAAUUAAAGGAACAAGACCCAACUUCCUGCUUCCUGCAAGAGAUUCCCCUUCACCAGGAAGGACACACAUAUGCUGAAAGUGAAGGGGUAGGUAAAGACAAUCCAUGCAAAUAGAAUUCGAACUAGGAAUAGUUAUACUUGUAUCAGACAAAACAGACUUUAAAAAACUGUGAAAAGAAAAGGACAAGGGCCAAUAAUAACAAAAGAAAAAAUUCAACAAGAGGAGUGAUAAUGAUUAUUAAUAUUUCAUAUAAUAUUUGCUUUAUAUAUUUAGAUAUGGGAAUUGGAGUAUAUAAAUUUAUGAAGCAAAUAUUAACAGCUCCAAAGGGAGAUGUAGAGUGUAAUACAUCCAUAGUGGGUAACAUCAAUAUGCCACUUUCAACAUUGGACAGAUCAGCUAUACAGAAAAGUAAGUAAGGAAGCAUUAAACUUAAACUACACUCUAGACCAAACGGACAUAACAGACACAUUUAGAAUAUUCCAUCUGGCAGCUGCAGAAUACUCAUUUUUCUCAACUGCACAUGGAAUAGUCUCCAGAAUAAUUAUGUGCUAGGCUACAAAACAUCUUCACAAAUUUAAGAAGAUUAAAAGUAACUUUUCUGACCACAAUGGUAUAAAACUAGAAAUCGCUUACAUAAAAACUUUGGAAAAUUCACAAAUACAUGCAAGUUAAAUAUGCUUUUGAACAAUAAAUGGAGCCAUGAAGAAAUUAAAAGAGAAAUUUAAAAUUCUGUUGAGACAAACAAAAGUGAAAAUAUGACAUACCAAAACCUAUGCGAUAUAUAAAAAACAGUUCUAGAAGGUUUAUAGCAAUAAACACCUACAUGAAAAAGAUAAAGAUAUGAAGUAGACAACCCAACAUUGUACUUCAAAGCAUCAGAAAAACAAGAAUAGACUAACCCCAAAGUUAGUAAAGGGAAGAAAAUAAUAAAGGUCACAGCAGGAAUAAAUGAAAUAGAAACUAAAAAAAAUAGAAAAGAGCAACAAAAAUGAGAUCUGUGCCUUUAAAAAUUAAACGAAUUCUACUAACCUUUAGUCAAACUAAGAGAAAAAGAAAAUAUGCAAAUGAAUAAAAUCACAGAUAAAAACAGAGAGACAUUUCAAUUGAUAAAACAGAAAUACAAAAAAUCUUAAGGGACUAUUAUGAGCAGUUAUAUGCCAACGAAUUGAACAACCUAAAAGAAAUAAAUAAAUCCCUUGACACAUAUAACUUAUCAAAAUUGAAUCAUAAAGAAAUAAAAAAUCCGAACAGACUAAUAAGUGAUGAGAUCAAAAGUGUAAUUAAAAGUCUCUCAGCAAAGAAAAGGCAAGAACUAUAUGGCUUCACCGUUGAAUUCUAUCAAACAUAAAGAAAAACGAAUGGCAAUUAUUCUUAAACGCUUUCAAAGCAUUGAAGAGAAUAGAACCCUUCUCAACUCACUUUGCAAGACCAGCAUUACACUGAUACCAAAGCUGAACAAGCAGAGCACACACACACACACACACACACAGGCAUGCACACACAAAGAAAACAGCAAGCCAAUAUCCCUGAUGAUGGUAGAUGCAAAACUCCUCCACAAAAUGCUAGCAAACCAAAUUUAACAAUACAUUAAAAAGACCAUUCGCCAUGAUAAUGUGGAAUUCAUCUCAGGAAUGCAAGGAUGAUUCCGCAUACAUAAAUCAAUAAAUGUGAUACAUCACAUGAACAUAUUUCAGGAUAAAAACCAUAUAAUCAUUUCAACAGAUGCAGAAAAAGCCUUUGAUAAAAUGUGAAACCCUUCAUAAUAAAAACCCUCAACAAAAUAGAUAUAGAAGGAAAGUACCUAGACAUAAUAAAGGCCAUGUAUGACACACCCCAGCUUAUAUUAUAUUGAACAAAAGCUUUCAACUUUUCCUCUAAGAUCUAGAACAAGACAAGGAUGCCCCUUGCCACUUCUACUCAAUGUAGUAUUGGAAGUCCUAGCCAAAGCAAUUAGGCAAAAGAAAGAAUUAAAAAGUCUUCCAAAUUUGAAAGGAGCAAGUUAAAUUGUCCCUGUUUGCAGUUGACAUGAUCUUAUAUAUACAAAACCUUAAGGACUAUUUACAAACUGUUAGAACUAAUAAAUUCAGGACAGUUGCAAGAUACAAAAUGAACAUACAAAAAUCAGUAGUGUUUCUAUACAUUAACAGUGAGCUAUCCAAAAAAGAAAUUAAGAAAACAAUCCCAUUUACAAUAGCUACCAAAAAACAAAAUAGAAAUAAAAGUCACCCAAGAGUGAAAGAUCUCUACAUUGAAAACUGUAGAAUUCUGAUGAAAGAAAUUGCAGUAGUCACCAACAGAUGAAAAGGCAUUCUGAUUUCAUGGAUUGGAAGAAUUCGUACUAAUAAAAUGUCCACGUUACCCAAAGUGAUCUACAGAUUCAAUGCCAUCUGUCAAAAAAACAAUACCAAUUCCAUUCUUCACAGAAAUAGAAAAUAUAUCCUAAAAUGUGUAUAGAGCUACAGAAGACCUCCAACAAAGUCAUCUUGAGCAACAACAACAAAGCAGGAAGCAUCAUGCUAGCCGACUUCAAAAUAUACUAAAACUACAGUAAACAAAGCAGCAUUAUACUGACAUAAAAACAGAUACAUAGACCAAUGGAACAGAAAUAAGAAGAUCAUUCGCCAUGAUAAUGUGGAAUUCAUCUCAGGAAUGCAAGGAUGGUUCCACAUACAUAAAUCAAUAAAUGUGAUACAUCACAUGAACACAUUUGCAGCCAACUAAUUUACAACAAGGGUGCUAAGAACAUGCAGUGGGGAAAGGAUAGUCUUUAAUAAAUAGCACUGGGAAGACUGGAUAUUCACGUGCAGAAUGACACUGGACCCCUAACUCACACCAUAUACAAAAAUCAAUCCUGAACGUAUUCAAGACUUCAGUGUAAGACUCAAAACUAUUCAACUACCAUAAAAAAAAAAACAAAGGGAAAAGCACCAUGUCAUUGGUCUGGGCAAUAAUUUUUUUUUUGAUAUAUCCUCAAAAGCACAGACAACAAAAGCAAAAAUAGACAAAUGGGAUUACAUGAAACUAAAAGCUUCUUCACAUCAAGGAAACAAUCAACAGAGUGAAGAGACAACCCACAGAAUGGGAGAAAAUAUUUGCAAAGCACAUAUCUGAUAAGUGAUUACUACCCAAAAUACAUGUGAUGCUUAAUGACAGGAAUAUGUUCUGAGAUUGUCACUAUGAGAUUUAAUUGUGUGACUCUAGUUAGUUGUACUAGCUCACCACACACCUAGGCUAUCCAGUAGCCUGUUGCUCCAAGGCUACAAACCUGUCCAACAUGUUACUAUACUGAAUACUGGAGGCAACUGUAACACGUUAGGUGUUUGUGUAUCUAAACAGAGCAAAGGUAGAGUAAAAAUAUGGCCUUACGAUCUUACGGACCACUGUUAUCUAUGUGCUCCAUGAUUGUCCAAAAUGUUGUAGUGCUGUGCAUGAGGGUGUAUAAAGAACUCAAACAAGUCAGCAGCAAGAAAACAACACUUCCUAUAAACGGACAAAGCAUCUGAGUAGACAUUUCUCAAAAGAAGACAUACAAAUGUCCAAUAGGUUUAUGGAGAAACGCUCACCACUAAUCAUCAGGAAAACACAAAUUUAAACCACAAUGAGGUAUCGCCUCACACCUGUUAAGAUGGCUGUUAUCAAAAAGACAAAAGAUUUAACAAGUGUUGGCAAGGAUGUGGAGAAAAGAGAGCCCUCAUACACUGUUGGCAGAAGCGUAAAUACUACAAUCAUUACGGAAAACAGCAUGGAAGGGCGCGGGGAGAGAGGAGGGAAAG